AUGACUUCGGAGAUGGGCCUCGUCCACUGCCUCCCGCUGCUCCUGCUGCUGCUCUCGGCCUCGGCCGUGGUCGCGGCCGCGGGCGGCGGGGAGAAGGACGUCUCGGCCUCGGACUACGAGGCGCGGUUCGAGGCGUGGUGCGCGGAGCACGGCAAGGCGUACGCGACGCCCGGGGAGCGCGCGGCGCGGCUCGCGGCCUUCGCGGAGAACGCGGCCUUCGUCGCGGCGCACAACGCCGGCGCCGCCGCCAAUAGCGGCGCGGGAGGAUCCCAGUCGUACACGCUCGCGCUCAACGCGUUCGCUGACCUCACGCACGACGAGUUCCGCGCCGCGCGCCUCGGGCGCCUCGCCGUCGGCCCGGUCCCCCUCGGGGAGCCGCGUUCGUCCGGGGGCUUCGAGGGCGGCGUGGGCGCCGUGCCCGACGCGCUCGACUGGAGGCAGAGCGGCGCCGUCACCAAGGUCAAGGACCAGGGCAGCUGCGGUGCUUGUUGGAGCUUCUCUGCUACAGGUGCCAUGGAAGGAAUAAACAAGAUCACGACGGGCUCUCUUCUCAGCCUUUCUGAACAGGAACUAAUCGAUUGUGACAGAUCCUACAAUGCUGGUUGUGGCGGUGGGCUCAUGACCUAUGCUUAUAAGUUUGUGAUUAAAAAUGGUGGGAUUGACACGGAGGAUGAUUACCCGUUUCGUGAAGCAGAUGGAACAUGCAACAAGAACAAGCUGAAAAAGCAUGUGGUAACAAUCGAUGGCUACAAGGAGGUGCCUCCUAGCAAGGAAGACUUGUUACUACAAGCUGUUGCCCAGCAACCCAUUAGCGUAGGAAUAUGUGGCAGCGCUAGAGCAUUUCAGCUAUACUCCCAGGGUAUCUUCGAUGGUCCAUGCCCAACAUCUCUUGAUCAUGCUGUCCUAAUUGUGGGAUAUGGUUCUGAAGGUGGCAAGGAUUAUUGGAUUGUGAAAAAUUCCUGGGGUGAAAGAUGGGGAAUGAAGGGCUAUAUGCAUAUGCACCGAAACACUGGCUCAUCGUCAGGUAUCUGUGGCAUAAACAUGAUGGCAUCUUUCCCCACAAAAACAAGCCCGAAUCCUCCUCCUUCACCUGGCCCUGGCCCAACCAAAUGCAGCGUUUUUACCUCCUGCCCUGAAGGAUCCACCUGCUGUUGCUCAUGGCGUGCCUUGGGAUUCUGCCUUUCCUGGAGCUGUUGCGAGCUGGAUAAUGCAGUUUGCUGCAGUGAUAACCGUUCUUGUUGCCCCCAUGACUAUCCUAUAUGUGAUACAGCUAGGGGACGUUGCUUGAAGGGCAAUGGCAACUUCUCCAGCAUAGAGGGAAUCAAGAGGAAGCAAGCUUUCUCCAAGGUUCCCUCUUGGAAUGGUUUGUUGGAACUGCUGGAUCAAUAG
rnacentral:rRNA from 1 species